ACUCACUACUCACUAGCCGUUUGUGCUUUCAAGAGUUGAAUGAAGAAGAACUAAGGAAAAAUACGUUUUCACGUGAAGAUUUGGGAGACAAGUCUAAGGAAGUGGGGCAUUCAUGGUCCACGAGGACUGAACUUAAUGGAUCAUGAUUUGACCAGUUUGCCCUUGUCGGCUUCUGUGUGUUCACGUUUUUUCCUUUGGCGCUUUACGAUUCGCGUGAUGACUUUUUCUCAA